rnacentral:rRNA from 1 species
UACGUAGGGUGCAAGCGUUGUCCGGAAUUAUUGGGCGUAAAGAUCUCGUAGGCGGUUUGUCGCGUCUGCUGUGAAAACUGGGGGCUCAACCCCCAGCCUGCAGUGGGUACGGGCAAACUAGAGUGCGGUAGGGGAGAUUGGAAUUCCUGGUGUAGCGGUGGAAUGCGCAGAUAUCAGGAGGAACACCGAUGGCGAAGGCAGAUCUCUGGGCCGUAACUGACGCUGAGGAGCGAAAGCGUGGGGAGCGAACAGG